GAUGAACGCUGGCGGCGUGCCUAAUACAUGCAAGUCGAACGAAGAUCUAGCUUGCUAGAUCUUAGUUGCGAACGGGUGAGUAAUACAUAAAUAAUCUGCCCAUAUGACUGGGAUAACUAUUGGAAACGAUAGCUAAUACCGGAUAGGUUGAUUGGAGGCAUCUCUGAUUAAUUAAAGUAGGAUUUCUACACAAAUGGAUGAGUUUAUGGCGCAUUAGUUAGUUGGUGGGGUAACGGCCUACCAAGACGAGGAUGCGUAGCCGACCUGAGAGGGUGACCGGCCACACUGGGACUGAGACACGGCCCAGACUCCUACGGGAGGCAGCAGUAGGGAAUUUUCGGCAAUGGGCGCAAGCCUGACCGAGCAACGCCGCGUGAGUGAUUAAGGCCUUCGGGUUGUAAAGCUCUGUUGUAAGGGAAGAACAUUCAGGAUAGGAAAUGAUCUUGAACUGACGGUACCUUACCAGAAAGCCACGGCUAACUACGUGCCAGCAGCCGCAGUAAAAC
rnacentral:rRNA from 1 species